rnacentral:rRNA from 1 species
AAUAAGCACCGGCUAACUCCGUGCCAGCAGCCGCGGUAAUACGGAGGGUGCGAGCGUUAUCCGGAUUUAUUGGGUUUAAAGGGUCCGCAGGCGGGCUAGUAAGUCAGUGGUGAAAGCCUACAGCUUAACUGUAGAACUGCCGUUGAUACUGCUAGUCUUGAGUAUAGUUGAGGUAGCUGGAAUGAGUAGUGUAGCGGUGAAAUGCAUAGAUAUUACUCAGAACACCGAUUGCGAAGGCAGGUUACCAAGUUAUAACUGACGCUGAGGGACGAAAGCGUGGGGAGCGAACAGGAUUAGAUACCCUGGUAGUCCACGCCGUAAACGAUGCUAACUCGUUUUUGGGCUUUAGGGUUCAGAGACUAAGCGAAAGUGAUAAGUUAGCCACCUGGGGAGUACGACCGCAAGGUUGAAACUCAAAGGAAUUGACGGGGGCCCGCACAAGCGGUGGAUCAUGUGGUUUAAUUCGAUGAUACGCGAGGAACCUUACCAAGGCUUAAAUGGGAAUUGACAGCUGUAGAAAUACGGUUUUCUUCGGACAAUUUUCAAGGUGCUGCAUGGUUGUCGUCAGCUCGUGCCGUGAGGUGUUAGGUUAAGUCCUGCAACGAGCGCAACCCCUGUCACUAGUUGCCAUCAUUAAGUUGGGGACUCUAGUGAGACUGCCUACGCAAGUAGAGAGGAAGGUGGGGAUGACGUCAAAUCAUCACGGCCCUUACGCCUUGGGCCACACACGUGAUACAAUGGCCGGUACAGAGGGCAGCUACACUGCGAAGUGAUGCAAAUCUCGAAAGCCGGUCUCAGUUCGGAUUGGAGUCUGCAACUCGACUCUAUGAAGCUGGAAUCGCUAGUAAUCGCGCAUCAGCCAUGGCGCGGUGAAUACGUUCCCGGGCCUUGUACACACCGCCCGUCAAGCCAUGGAAGCUGGGGGUACCUGAAGUCGGUGACCGUAAAAGGAGCUGCCUAGGGUAA